rnacentral:rRNA from 1 species
CACGUAGGGUGCGAGCGUUGUCCGGAAUUAUUGGGCGUAAAGAGCUCGUAGGCGGUGUGUCACGUCGGCCGUGAAAACCUGCAGCUUAACUGUGGGCGUGCGGUCGAUACGGGCAUCACUGGAGUUCGGCAGGGGAGACUGGAAUUCCUGGUGUAGCGGUGAAAUGCGCAGAUAUCAGGAGGAACACCGGUGGCGAAGGCGGGUCUCUGGGCCGGAUACUGACGCUGGAGGAGCGAAAGCGUGGGAGCAAACAGG